AGGUAUGCUUAGGGAGGAGCUUGCGUCACAUUAGUUAGUUGGUGGGGUAAAGGCCUACCAAGACUAUGAUGUGUAGCCGGGCUGAGAGGUUGAACGGCCACAUUGGGACUGAGACACGGCCCAAACUCCUACGGGAGGCAGCAGUAGGGAAUUUUCGGCAAUGGAGGAAACUCUGACCGAGCAACGCCGCGUGAACGAUGAAGUAUUUCGGUACGUAAAGUUCUUUUAUUAGGGAAGAAUAAAUGAUGGAAAAAUCAUUCUGACGGUACCUAAUGAAUAAGCCCCGGCUAACUAUGUGCCAGCAGCCGCGGUAAUACAUAGGGGGCAAGCGUUAUCCGGAAUUAUUGGGCGUAAAGGGUGCGUAGGCGGUUAAAUAAGUUUAUGGUCUAAGUGCAAUGCUCAACAUUGUGAUGCUAUAAAAACUGUUUAGCUAGAGUAAGAUAGAGGCAAGUGGAAUUCCAUGUGUAGUGGUAAAAUGCGUAAAUAUAUGGAGGAACACCAGUAGCGAAGGCGGCUUGCUGGGUCUUUACUGACGCUGAGGCACGAAAGCGUGGGGAGCAAACAGGAUUAGAUACCCUGGUAGUCCACGCCGUAAACGAUGAGUACUAAACGUUGGGUAAAACCAGUGUUGAAGUUAACACAUUAAGUACUCCGCCUGAGUAGUACGUACGCAAGUAUGAAACUUAAAGGAAUUGACGGGACUCCGCACAAGCGGUGGAUCAUGUUGUUUAAUUCGAANGUACCCGAAAAACCUCACCAGGUCUUGACAUGCUUCUGCAAACUGUANAAACACAGUGGAGGUUAUCAGUUGCACAGGUGGUGCAUGGUUGUCGUCAGCUCGUGUCGUGAGAUGUUGGGUUAAGUCCCGNNACGAGCGCAACNCUUAUNGNUAGUUACCAGCACGUAAUGGUGGGGGACUUUNGC
rnacentral:rRNA from 1 species